UGAAAUUAGAGUUGAUUCAUGAUAUUUAGUUGUUGUGUGAUGUUGUCUACAUAUACCAUGCUCACCAUGUGUUUGAUUAAAUGCCCAUGUGAAGGAAAAAUGCCCUACUAGCAUGAUAAUAUGAAAUACCCAUUUAUGUACAAGUUCAAGCAUGUCAAGUGUUUGAUGAAAUGUCUUAUUAAAUAAAUUAUGGAUGUAUGUGUGGCCAUUGUGGUGCUUUAG
rnacentral:lncRNA from 1 species